AAUACAUACAGCUGAAGCCACUGCCCUCUGUGCUUGGUCCUCUAGCAGCUGCACGCCCCGGGAGGUGGACACGCUUAUUAUCUCCAUCCUUCCAGAGAAAGAAGCUUGAGCUCAUAAAGUUACACAUCCAGUGAAACGAUUCGCUACUACGGUGACCAUGCGCUAUAGCAAGCUUGAUCACUCGGGGAGUAUCGAGGGCCAGGCGGCCAGCACCGCAGCUGUGAGUGUGACAGAGAGAGGAGCUCUGGGGAGAAACGGCUCAGUCCUACCACACAACCUAUUUUCAGCAUUUGUAACUUA